UGCAUAUUACUAUUAAAGCUAAGACUGUCUAGAAUUUCUAAACAACAACAACAACAACAAAAAUCUAACUUAAAAUUUACUUUUUGCAGUAUUACACAAUGAAUCCUAAAUUAUUGGCUUAAUCACAUGUGUUAAAGAAGUUUCAAUGCAGAAACUAGACAAAACAACUAACAAAAUCAUCAUGUCCUUUAUUAUUUAUUCUUGAAAUUAGCAAUCUGUAGAACUGAUCACAUUUUGUCCGAGUAGACAUGACUGGGCCAAUUGUAUAGCCCUGAAGGAACCAUCAUUUUGUGUUUACUAACGUUUUACUUAUUGAUUCUAAGAUGCACAAUUUUCUUCUCAUUGGGACACUUCUGAAACUGAAAUGUGACUUAGAAUUGACAAUAUAUCAUGGUUUAUUGGUAGCAUUUUGUGUUACUUAGUGGAACAUAAAAUAAUGGUGCAUCAUAAAAUUAAGAGCUCUUAUAUUGGAUAGAAUACAGUAUUUGGUUGGCCAUGUUCCAUGUGAAUAUAUAUCAUCGAUUAGCAUAAAAUGGUAUAUUUGGGGGAAAUACCUGACUUUAUGUUAAUAAUAAUUUAAAGAACAAACUAAUCCCACAGCUGAAGUAAGUUAAAUAGCUACAGGGAUUUAGGAAAUGGUCCUCUCCAGGCUGUCUGUUGUUCAUCGCUGUGUGAGGAUGUUUUCUGGUUAGUUGUCGUGUGUGGGUUAUGAUGAGCCCAAAGGAGUGUUUUUUAUCUUGAAGUCUUAAAAAAUAGAAGUCCGUUGGUCAAGAUCUGAAAGAGUAAAAUUUAACCACAGCUACAUUUUAAAAUAAAGUUAAAAAUUGGCCGGGUGUGAUGGCUCAUGCCUAUAAUCCCUGCACUUUGGGAGGCUGAGGCAGGAGGAUCACUUGAGGUCAGGAGUUCGAGACCAGCCUGGCCAACAUGGUGAAACCCUGUCUCUACUAAAAAUGCAAAAAUUAGCCAAGCAUGAUGGCUCAUGCCUGUAAUCCAGCUACUGAGGAGGCUGAGGCAGGAGAAUCACUUGAACCUGGGAGGCAGAGGUUGCAGUGAGCUGAGAUCAUACCACUUCAUUCCAGCCUGGGCAACAGAGUGAGACUCAGUCUCUAAAUAAGUAAAUAAAUUAAGUAAGUUAAAAAUUUGGUAAGUUUCCUUGGUACCCUUUGAACUGACCAAUGCUCAAAAUGUAGACGGUGGAAAGUGUUUUCAUUAAGGCAAAUCAUACCUGCAUCCAAGGUAUGGAAGUACUUUAUACUGUAACAACAAUGCCGAGUGAGAAGGUGAUUGAAUUUUCUUGUUUUGGGGACCAUUAAACUGAUGAGGAACAUGUUGAUGAUUGCAGCAUAAACACCUCUCAGUUUGUCUUCCUUCAGUUUGCUCAAGGAAGUACUUACAUCGUGAUUUGGAAAUCAAUAUGUUUGGGAAAUGUCAAAGCUGAUGCGUUUAAAAAUGCAUUGAAACACUAUGGGAAUAUCAAACUAUGAAAAAGACAAGAUUUUCCAAUCAAUAUGUUUUCCACUUUGAAGAAUACAUAUAUUUUUUGCUGAUUAUAAAGUUAACAGAUAUGCAUUGUCAAGCAUUCAGGAUGUACAGAGAAAUAUAUUACACGAUUCUCAUUGUGACAGCAUUGCUGGCUUUUGAUGAAAACCAAUAGUGACCCGAUGCAUAGCCUUCCUAUUUUUUUCUAUGAAUAUUAUUGCUUGUGGGAAGGUGCAUGCAUCGCACAUGCACAUCCACUCCUGCACAUCAUUAUUACAAAAAUGGACUGUGGGGCUUAGGGUGCCUUGCGCCCCAGUGUUUUUGAAUGGUUGUUUUUAGGACGUUCUAGGUAGGAACCUGUGGCUUCUGGGAACAGGUGGGAUUCCCAGAACAGGGUUUUAACCUAACAUUGUGCUUGCCUCCGUUUCCUCUCUUCUAUUUGGUUACUUUCCUGAAGCCCAGUGACCAAUAGUAAGGAAGUUUCAGCAGACAGUGGUCUGAGUCAGGCAGCCUUUCCCCUCUGUUUUCCAAGCAAACUUAGUUACAUUGGUAUUCUAGGUUAGGAAGCCGGGGAAGGUUGUGGAUAAUUUUCAGUCCCCAUUGUCUUUUAGGCUCCCACUAGGUUCUCAAUAAUAAAGAAGAGCAAAUUAAGGAAGACUCAGCCAAGCGCUCCUCUCAGAUAAAGAGAAGGCUCUAGCUUCCUACAGGUUAUGCCUGGGGGGCAGACUGAUUUCAGAGGGAAAAGAUGAACAACUAUUGCAUCCAAAGACAUGUCGUUCUAGGGAAAAGUCCAGGUUAAGUUCAACGAGGGCCAGCCAUCUCCCUUUGUACUCCAGGACAUUUAAAUACUUUUUUUUUUUUUUUUUUUUGCUUUAAAACAGUUGCUUUAACAUAUGCACUCAUAGCUGAGUAGAGUCCAGACAAAACCACGUGUCUCAGAAGUCAAGAUUAUGUGGAGUUUGCAUUAGAAGCCUUCUUAAGAACAUAAAAUCCUCCGUUUUCAUGCUUCAGAAGUAGAGAAGUCCAGGUUUUUGUCUUUGAAUAGUGCUGGGUUCUCACUUCACUAAUAUAUUUCUCUUGGUUUUCCAAAUAUCUGCUUGUCCACAGUAACAGUGUCCUUAUUUUCCACUAGUAAAUCUUACAGGGUCUCAGUAGUGACUCUCACUGAAAUAAGGGCAGAAAACACCAGUGCCGUGGUGUGGAACUGGAGGGCUAGGGUGGAGAGCCAAGGAAGCUGGAGAAGCCAAUCAGACGGGGAGUGGAGUGUGCUGCUGUGAGGCCACUCAUGGGCUGGGUGUCCGUGGCUCUGGGCAGACCUCUCAUGACUGGUUCAGCGGAGCCCAGGGGACUGGGAACUGAACAGCUAAACACAGAUGGUCAGGACUGAAGUGCACUUGAAACAAAUAAAAUAGAGCAAAUAGGGUCCAUUGGCCAACGCUCUGGGAAGGAAGGAAGAAUAGGGAGAUCAUUUGACGCCGGCCUCACGCUAACAGGGAAGCCACCGGUAAAUGAGGAAUAAGUUUCGAUGGUUAAAUUACCUUGCCUUGUCAGUUCUCUCCAGGACCUUCCUUGACAGCCAGGCAUUUUCCUUCAGUUAUUGGCAUAUUUGAGAGAAAGAAGGUUGUUUUUGUAAAUUGUCUUCAUUUUAUUCUGACUUCCUGGAGUCUUCAAAGGCUCUCGUGGGGACCACUGGCUUUCUGGGCCCUGAGAGCGUCUGCAACUAGGAGGUGUUGUAACUGUGGAGCCACGAGCCACCAGCCACCAGCCUGGAAUUUGGGUGACAGCAGCAACCAGGAAAUGUUUUAGACCAAUUCUGAGCCUCAGUCCUGUGCACCUUUGAGUCUGGUCCAUCGUGGGUGAUCCAAGCUAUGAUUAUCCACUGAAGACUUAGGUUUUCCUUGUCCUUUUUGGUAUCUAUCUGAAACACAGAUGCUCACCACCUCCGCAGCUGUGAGCAGCCUGCCUCGCUGGGGACAAAGGAGAUGGAGAAGCAUCCCUUUGUAGGGGAGAGCUGGAUAAUUCCAGCCUGUUAGCUACUCACGGGAACAUGCAGAAUUAUUGGCUCCAGGGAGUUUUGGAGAAAGAAGGUUUACGUUUUCAAACUUACAGAUAACAGUUGACAUCAAUGCUUCUCUUUCCCAGAACAAUCUGGAGUUUGCCAGAAAACUCUGUAAACAGGAGUCGUGCUGUGUGUGAACUGUAAACUCUUCUCUCCAGGCGUCGAGGGGACCUUUGCUUUACUUUGCAGCUGGGCUACAUCAGACGUGUGCAUUUGAAACAUAAACUUCCUUAACUGGGAAAAGAAUGCUUCUCUGUCUUCAAAAUAGUUCUGCUAUGUGACAUUUUUGCCAUCAUGAAUUUUACAUCAGUGCUAGCUCUUCGUUUUACGUGUUUCAUUUGGCAGGUCACAAAGGCCCUUGGCUACCACACAUACGUGCAUACACACACACACACACACACACACACACUCAUAAAGGAUUUUCUUUUCUGCUUUACCUUUAAUUUUAGUCUACUUGGCUUGUAAUGAAAGGUAGAGCCUUAUUUUUGAACUAUAUCCCAACAGAAUCGAAUUUCCACUUUGCCAAGAAUUAUAAAACCCUGAGGUUUUAAAAUUCAGUUUCUUUUCUGGGGAUUUAACAUGGAAGGACUUGGAGGGCAAAUGGCCCAGUGAUUGGAAAGGGGAAAAACAAUUCAUUUCAUUUAAAAUUAUUCAAUAACCAUUGCCAGCAUUUGGGAUUCUGAGUGCUGUUUAUGAAGCCCUUUCAUUGAUAUAAUUUCAUCUAUCUCUCACAAGGCUGUAAGCAAUUCCUAUGUCCAUAUGGCAGUGAAGAAAUGGAGAUUUGAGCAGGUUAAGGGAGUUUUCACCUGGAAGCUCUUCUUUUUUUUCCUUCUGCCACAGUAGGGUCAUCAGACUGUCAGCCCCAGCACUGGGAGCCGAGUAACACACAUGUUCUCAUUAAUAUCCUUUUCUCACGUUUUUAUUAAAGAUAUAUGCAAGUUGCCAAAAGACGAAGGAACUUGCAGGGAUUUCAUAUUAAAAUGGUACUAUGAUCCAAACACCAAAAGCUGUGCAAGAUUCUGGUAUGGAGGUUGUGGUGGAAACGAAAACAAAUUUGGAUCACAGAAAGAAUGUGAAAAGGUUUGCGCUCCUGUGCUCGCCAAACCCGGAGUCAUCAGUGUGAUGGGAACCUAAGCGUGGCUGGCCAACAUCAUAUACCUCUUGAAGAAGAAGGAGUCAGCCAUCGCCAACUUGUCUCUGUAGAAGCUCCGGGUGUAGAUUCCCUUGCACUGUAUCAUUUCAUGCUUUGAUUUACACUCGAACUCGGGAGGGAACAUCCUGCUGCAUGACCUAUCAGUAUGGUGCUAAUGUGUCUGUGGACCCUCGCUCUCUGUCUCCAGGCAGUUCUCUCGAAUACUUUGAAUGUUGUGUAACAGUUAGCCACUGCUGGUGUUUAUGUGAACAUUCCUAUCAAUCCAAAUUCCCUCUGGAGUUUCAUGUUAUGCCUGUUGCAGGCAAAUGUAAAGUCUAGAAAAUAAUGCAAAUGUCACGGCUACUCUAUAUACUUUUGCUUGGUUCAUUUUUUUUCCCUUUUAGUUAAGCAUGACUUUAGAUGGGAAGCCUGUGUAUCGUGGAGAAACAAGAGACCAACUUUUUCAUUCCCUGCCCCCAAUUUCCCAGACUAGAUUUCAAGCUAAUUUUCUUUUUCUGAAGCCUCUAACAAAUGAUCUAGUUCAGAAGGAAGCAAAAUCCCUUAAUCUAUGUGCACCUUUGGGACCAAUGCCUUAAUUAAAGAAUUAAAAAAAGUUGUAAUAGAGAAUAUUUUUGGCAUUCCUCUAAUGUUGUGUGUUUUUUUUGUGCUGGGGGGAGGGGAUUUAAUUUUAAUUUUAAAAUGUUUAGGAAAUUUAUACAAAGAAACUUUUUAAUAAAGUAUAUUGAAAGUUUCCUGGGUGUGACGUU
rnacentral:sRNA from 1 species